AAAGAAAAGGAAGGAAAGAGGGAGAGUCUCAUCUCCUCUCUCUCUCUCUCUUCUGUUGGGUCGCUUUCCUUUCUGGCUAAAAGGUGAGAGUUAUAGAAAUAGCAAAAGAUUUACAAGGUGGGUCAUUUUCCUUUCUGGCUAAAAGGCGAGAGUUAUAGAAAUUGCAGAAGAUUUACAACGUUGCUUCCAAGAAGAAAAAUGUGGCAGAUGAAGCCAGAGUAGUCCUAUAGGCAAAGCUGAGGCAAGCAGCUUCAACACCAUAAUGGAACAAAAAGAUGAAUGCAUAUCGUGCUGCCCUUCUUUCUCAAGUAGAUUGCAUUGAGGUUGAUGUCUCUCACUCUUUGGAUAGAGUUCUGUUUGCUCUCCAUGACAGGUAUAUUUCAUUUUAAAGUUGUGUUUGUAAUGAGGUUUAUUCGUAACGUAUUUGUAAUGGUAGUUCCCCCAUCUUUUAAAGUUGUCAACAUAUAUGCAUAGUU